CACCAAAUGCAACAUCUUUUACUUUAAACCAAAAUCUACGAGCAAGUCAGUCUAUAAUAAUAAAGUGGAAAAUAUGCUGCACUACGCAUCACAAGAUAGACAUAGCAAGUAGCUAUUGGGAAUGAUGCAACAAUAAGAAUAAUCGGAACCUUGAAUUGGAUGUGAACGGGGCGAAUGAUGGUGCAAAUUAGAAGCGCAAGCGAUUGAUGAAGAAAAACAAUGAAAAUGAGCGACAUUUGUGGCAAUACAAUUUGAUUUAAAAGUUAAAACAUGAAUCUUGUACUUAAUUUUA